rnacentral:lncRNA from 1 species
ACUAUGUCUAUUAUACUUAUCACUGCAUCACAGAUAAUUCAAAAUUAGGUAAACAUAGAAAACAUAUAAAUACAUAUGAGAUACAUAUAAGAAUUGGCCAAACACAUUCUAGGUGAAAACAUAAAUUGGCAAUAAGGUCUUAAUGUCAAAUAAGAGUAUUUUUUUCACUGAGUAAUGGCUGCACAAAGUGAGACAUGUUUAGAUGUCGCCACUAGAGAGAGCCAGAGUGUGAGGUUCUAAACAAGGCCUCCUUGCUAGCAAGCCUGUGAACCAGGAAAUAGAAUUCUUUGCAAAUCCCUUUGUCUGCUUGUCUAUUUUGAUCAAAAUCCUUCAGUCUUGCAGAAAUAAUUUAGCUGAUGCCAGAGUCUAUUUAACACACCAAAAGGUGGAUCAUUACUGAUGCCCGGUUUUCAUGCUGGAAUCAAACUCUCAGUCCCUAUUUCCAGCCUCUUUAUAUCUGAGACAUCCUUCAAAUAGGCCUUGAGUAAGAUGGAUCGCUGGCUCAGACUCAAGUGUCACCUCCAUCCUGCAUAUCUGAGGGGAGGAUGGGGAAAGGAGAAGAAGAAGAUGAAGUUAACAAACUAGGGAGAGGAAAAUUCUUAGCUC